AUUGAACGCUGGCGGCAGGCUUAACACAUGCAAGUCGAGCGGAGAUGAGGUGCUUGCACCUUAUCUUAGCGGCGGACGGGUGAGUAAUGCUUAGGAAUCUGCCUAUUAGUGGGGGACAACAUUCCGAAGGAAUGCUAAUACCGCAUACGUCCUACGGGAGAAAGCAGGGGAUCUUCGGACCUUGCGCUAAUAGAUGAGCCUAAGUCGGAUUAGCUAGUUGGUGGGGUAAAGGCCUACCAAGGCGACGAUCUGUAGCGGGUCGGAGAGGAUGAUCCGCCUCACUGGGACUGAGACACGGCCCGGACUCCUACGGGAGGCAGCAGUGGGGAAUAUUGGACAAUGGGGGGAACCCUGAUCCAGCCAUGCCGCGUGUGUGAAGAAGGCCUUAUGGUUGUAAAGCACUUUAAGCGAGGAGGAGGCUACUGAGACUAAUACUCUUGGAUAGUGGACGUUACUCGCAGAAUAAGCACCGGCUAACUCUGUGCCAGCCGCCGCUGUAACAC
rnacentral:rRNA from 1 species